GUGGGGAAUAUUGGACAAUGGGCGAAAGCCUGAUCCAGCCAUGCCGCGUGUGUGAAGAAGGUCUUCGGAUUGUAAAGCACUUUAAGUUGGGAGGAAGGGCAGUAAGUUAAUACCUUGCUGUUUUGACGUUACCGACAGAAUAAGCACCGGCUAACUUCGUGCCAGCAGCCGCGGUAAUACGAAGGGUGCAAGCGUUAAUCGGAAUUACUGGGCGUAAAGCGCGCGUAAGUGGUUUUGUAAGUUGGAGGUGAAAUCCCCGGGCUCAACCUGGGAACUGCCUCCAAAAAUGCAUGACUAGAGUACGGUAGAGGGUAGUGGAAUUUCCUGUGUAGCGGUGAAAUGCGUAGAUAUAGGAAGGAACACCAGUGGCGAAGGCGACUACCUGGACUGAUACUGACACUGAGGUGCGAAAGCGUGGGGAGCAAACAGGAUUAGAUACCCCUGUAGUCC
rnacentral:rRNA from 1 species